rnacentral:lncRNA from 1 species
AGUGCUAAAUCAGACAAAUAUAAAUUUGUAAGGUGUUGGUGCAAAAAUCUGCUUGCGCCGGAGAAGCUGGAGUCGGAGAAGUCACGGUCGCCGUCGGGACCUGCAAAGGAAGUCUAACCUGGAGGUGGGGUUGCUCCGGCAAGACCCUCCGAUGCUCAAGUCAGUUCUCUGCCUCAACAAGAAUGGAGUGCUCGAACGGAGAAUUUAGCAGAGUUUUGAGAUAAGAAAUGAGCUUAUAGAAUAACGUAUCUGGGUCCCCCUUUUAUAGGCGAAGGAAGCAACGGAUUGAUGGCGACGUUUGUAACCGUCUGGCAGUGGACUGCCCAGGGUCAGGC